AUCUAGUUGGACGGGAUUUAGACUUUAGUUUUACUUAGACCUCUUGCUUUUCCAUGUGUUAUGGGUAGAUUGGUAUUGCCUUUCCCGGGGGCAUCUGGUUUCACAAUUUAUUAUUGACAUAUUUUGGUUCUUCAUGCAUUGGUAUGACGUAUGCAUGCUCUUAAACCGAUUUCUCAUAGGUCUUGUGUCUCUGGCUAAGUUCUUUCUCUAUUGUUUGCAGAUUCUGGUUGCUUGCCAUAAUCUAAACAUUAUGCGCUCUUUCUGUGUGCUAUUUAAAAAUUAAGUAUUGGUCAAUCAUGUGUGAACUGU
rnacentral:misc_RNA from 1 species